AAAGCGCAGUCAACAAUCGGGCUGUUGAAAUCCGUUGCAUUGCUUAAAGUCAGUGCAUGCAGUAUAUGGAUUCAGGACUGUCAGUGAGCGCUCUCUCUGGAGGCAGUAUUACAGGGCCUGUCCCUUGUUCAACAUUUCUGCACUGCAGCACAACACAGCGACAACCACAGUUAAAGUCCUUCAUAAGUUAUCCGCAGGAUAAACAGUGGGAUAUGAUGUAUCAACAGCGGAUUGGCACCAUUGAUCAAAGCUUUUGGCCUCCCAGAAUGCACCAGGCCAGUCCCCUAUAUCCCCGCCUCCUUGCUCAGGCAAUUCAGUUUGUUUGGAGCGGCAGGAGGCAGACCAUGGUCAAUGGGCUACUGGUUUUAUAGCAGCCAUAAGCUUUUUAUUUCAUUUUUAUAGUAUUUUUUUUGUUUUUGUUUUUUGGCGUGAUCUUUCUAAAAAGCGUCCUAUGCGUACCAUUUAGAGUCGCUCCAACAAUUCUCUGCUGGGUCACAACAACGCUUACCCACGUGUACAGUGUUUUUUGGCGGGCAUCUGUGUAGGAUAUACUAGCAGGUAGUGCAGACGUUACCAGGCUAUGGCCGGAGCACGGGGAGAAGGUAAGGCAUGGGUUCCGCUUAGGAGGGAAAACACGAGACACAGCAGCACUGCUUUGGGAUGGAUGCUACCAAACAGUCGCUGUUGAGGCUGCCACCUUGGGUGCUCCAGCGCUAGGCCUCAGGGAUCAUAGUCUCCAGGGUUAGUCUGAGGCUGCGAUCCCUAGGGUUGAUGUCCGCAGUGGGGAGUAAGACACUCUCCUGGUUGCCCCUCCCCAGUUUAUGACCUGUUUCCAUAUGAGAGGCUGUAUCUUAAAAGACCCAGUCGCAGCAUAGUCCGCUGUAUGACUAGUGCGUCGGUGUUCACUUGGGCAUUUGUGUUCACUGUAGGUUCACAUGGCCGUUGUGUACACUAAUAGCGUCUGGAUCCACUCCAGGGACGUGUGGUGAGCUAAAUGGCUGAAGUGGCACUAGCUAGCACCAGAGACAGAUUCACACACAAUAUAUGAGCCAAAGCAUACAUCUGGGCAUUAUACACAGGUGCAUCAGUAGAAACUCCUGGAAAUUUAGUGGGUUUUCAUCAGAGAUAAGCGUAAAAGAUAGGCAGGUGAGGCCACUCAGCGUUAAUGUAUUGAUCGAUCCUGGAAGUGGGGUUAAGUCUCCCUGUAUCCCACUGUCCUGAACUGUAGUAGGAGACCUAGCACUAAGGGGGUCAUUCUGAGUUGAUCGUAGCUGUGCUAAAUUUAGCACAGCUACGAUCAUGUUCCCAGACAUGCAGGAGGACGCACAGCACAGUGCUAGCCCACCCCCUCCCCCGCACAAGUCCAAAAGCAUUGCACAGCGGCGCUGCUUUUGUACUUGUGGAGAAACUCCCGGCCAGUGCAGAUCCUGAGGUUGAACGGGAGUUGCUCGUCGCUGCCCAUGGUCGCAGCAGCUACAUGUUACGUCGCUCAGGCGCUGCAGCCCGCCACCUGCACGGUCCGGCCACGCCCCCAAAACGCAAUUGUAGAAUAUACCUGUUUGUUGUAUAUGUGUUAAUGCACUCUGUAUUGGGUAGGGUUUGGCAAUAGGAUUAAUUAAAAAAAAAUUAUAUUUGAAAUCUGGCACUUUGAAUAUUGAUAAGGGUUUAUCAACAGCUGCUAUAGAUGUGCCACAACCACAAUCCCUUACCACCACUCGUUCCUAACGAGGCGUCCCAUGUACUUCUGCUCUCAUGGGCAUUCAGCGCCCAAAUGAAACUGUAUUUAGAGCAGUGUGCCUAUCUGCUACAAUAAAGAUUUGCA